rnacentral:rRNA from 1 species
GACGAACGCUGGCGGCGUGCCUAAUACAUGCAAGUCGAACGCUUCUUUCCUCCCGAGUGCUUGCACUCAAUUGGAAAGAGGAGUGGCGGACGGGUGAGUAACACGUGGGUAACCUACCCAUCAGAGGGGGAUAACACUUGGAAACAGGUGCUAAUACCGCAUAACAGUUUAUGCCGCAUGGCAUAAGAGUGAAAGGCGCUUUCGGGUGUCGUUGAUGGAUGGACCCGCGGUGCAUUAGCUAGUUGGUGAGGUAACGGCUCCCCAAGGCCACGAUGCAUAGCCGACGUGAGAGGGUGAUCGGCCACACUGUGACUGAGACACGGCCCAGACUCCUACGGGAGGCAGCAGUAGGGAAUCUUCGGCAAUGGACGAAAGUCUGACCGAGCAACGCCGCGUGAGUGAAGAAGGUUUUCGGAUCGUAAAACUCUGUUGUUAGAGAAGAACAAGGACGUUAGUAACUGAACGUCCCCUGACGGUAUCUAACCAGAAAGCCACGGCUAACUACGUG